rfam:Listeria grayi DSM 20601 genomic scaffold SCAFFOLD3, whole genome shotgun sequence.
UUCUUAUCAAGAGCGGUGGAGGGAAAUGCCCUACGAAGCCCGGCAACCUAAGCAAUUUGCUUAAGGUGCUAAUUCAUGCAAAACAUUUGUUUUGGAAGAUGAGAA